GCCCGCACGGGAUAACGGGGAUUAUCCCGUGCGGUUCUCUUAAGACGCCCGCACGGGAAAAUCCAUUUUCCCGUGCGGGC
rnacentral:pre_miRNA from 18 species